rnacentral:lncRNA from 1 species
GCACCGUCAUUCACUUCGUCUAUGGAUCGUUUCUCACCACGGCCCAUUUGUAACAGGGGGUCAUCGUUUUGCCAUUCACGCAUGAAUCUUUCACGUUGUUCCGGUGUCCAGGUGUCCGUAAAGUCAGCCGUAAGCCCUAGCUGCUCAUUUUCUACUCUCCAUUCAGUUAUUCGACGAAAAAUUUCCAAUUUCCUCUCGAAAAGAAUGCGUUGUUCCACUUCAUUCAACAAAUAUAGCCUUUCCAAGGUUGAUAAUUCAGCUAUUGUCUGACACUCAGCAAUUUUAACUGCCAAAUCCAUGUCUAAAUAAAA